ensembl:lncRNA
CCUGGACUACAGCUCUGCUCUGUGCAACUGAUUACUCUAUUGACAAAAUCAUAAAACGGAAAAGCUGAAGAAAUACAUAUAACACCAAAAUCUUGUCCCUAGCUCCAAGAAACAGAUGCAUGACGCAAAGCUAUAUAAAUAUCAUCUCAGUCUCACAGGACCAUUUAUUCUUGUUUCUUGAGUAUAUCUUAGCUCUUGAAAGAAAAAUUACAGCUGAUAGAAUUGAUACGUGCGAAGGAAGAGAAGAAAUAGAUAAGGUGACCUCAUGAAUUGUGUGCUAAAGAAGUUUGUGCCUACAAAUGAAGGAAAUUUCAUUCACACUUGAUUAAUUGGAAUCUGGAGAGCAAGGGCACUGAUGAGGAGAAAAGAUGAAGAUCAAAUUCCUGUGGAAAUAAAAUCCUAAAAACUGGGCUAUCAAUCCAACAGGACAGAUUCCUUAUACAAUAGGUGCCUCUUAAAUUAGGUGCUGUAAAUUAACCAGCUCAACUAAACGUAAGCAGGAUCUUAUCACUGUAAUGCACAAUAACGUCUACAUUAUUAAAAUUCCACUAAAGAAAACUUAGUGUGAGAUAAUGCAGACAUGAAUGAUCAUUUAACAUUAAUCCUGAUGACAGCCAUUUCCACAUUGCUAUUGAAAUUCCCUCCUUCCUACAUUCUCAUUUCCAAAUACAAUACAAACAGCAUGCUCUAAUCAAUCAAAUGUACAUUCACCAUAUUUUUUAUACAAGGCCUUGUAUCUCCGAUAUAUAAGCUGCUGACAAUCAUUUAUCUUUCCUCUUGCUUUGUAGUCUCCCUAAAUGAAAGAACAGUUAGAGAAAGUUGUAGUUUCAGCAGUGAUUUUUACAUUUAGAAUUUGUUUAAUGACAAAUUACUGAUGUUAAUAACAGCCAGACCAAAAGAUUGUCAAGUUUAUCCAGCACAGCAACACCUGACUGUGAUUUUAUUGCUUUGAGAUUUGGUCUAAAUCAGAAUAAACUGCUUUGAUCAGCUCUGCAAAUUGAUUCCAUGCUCCAGGACUGCGUCAUAUGAAGUCAGCAUGAGUUUUCAUUAGAUAUAAGAAAAUAAUUUUUUUACAGUAAGGGUGGUAAAGCAUUGGAACAGUUUGCCCAGAGAGGUGGUGGAUGCCCCAUCCCUUGAGAUACUCCUGGUCAGGCUGAAUGGGGCACUGAGUACCUGAUAGAGCAGUAGGUGUCCCUGCUCACUGCAGUAGAGUUAGACUAGAUGGCCUUAAAGGGUCCCUUCAACUCAAAUGAUUCUAUGAUUGUAUGACCACAUGAUUCUGAACUCUCCUCCAUCCUUAAGUGUAUGGACUGUGUUAGAAUGUUAGUCAUCUCAGGCUAUUUGUAGAUGCUGGGUGUUGGAGAAGUGACAUUUAGCAUAAUUCAGAUCACUUAUGAUGUGACUGGUUUGCUGACAGUGUUUGAGUUCUGUGAUUGUAGAGAUAGUUUAGAAUCGUUUAUCACUUAUGUUCAGGUGGGGUAGACUGGAUAGAAACCUGUUUAUAAAUCUCCAAUAGUUAUAGUGAGGGAGCACAAAAAUCUAUAUUUAGGUUAAGCACAUACAUACAUGGCUUACUUUUCAGAGGGGAAUUAUUGGUAAGAGCAGGCAGUAGUUAACACCACCAAGAGCAGAAAUACACUAGAUCACAUUGGCAAGUUGCCUAGAGAUGUCUUACUUCAGACAUCUUAGGUUGGGAUGAAAUUUCAUUCUUUUGGUAUAAAACAUGUAUGUCUAUAAAGUGUGUAUGUAUGUGGUUGAAGGGACCUUAAAACACUUAGUUACUCUUAUUUCAACAAGUCAAUACGGUGAAACGUGUAAUAUGUCAAGAACAAUAGAGAUUAUAAAUAUUUUAUCAAAAUGUGAGUUAUUUCUAAAUAUUAUCUAUCAAAAUAAUUUUACUGGUCUCCAAAGAGGUCAGGAUAAGGGAGGGCAUUUAUUACUAAAAAUAAGAACAGGGCUUUUUUCUGAAAUCUCCCACGCAGAGUAGUGUAAUGGUAUCACUGCAAAUUUUGCUUAGAAGAUCAUUUGAUAUAAAUGUAGGUUUCUUCGCUUUCCAC